AGAGUUUGAUCAUGGCUCAGAUUGAACGCUGGCGGAAUGCUUUACACAUGCAAGUCGAACGGCAGCACGGACUUCGGUCUGGUGGCGAGUGGCGAACGGGUGAGUAAUAUAUCGGAACGUGCCCAGUCGUGGGGGAUAACGUAGUGAAAAUUACGCUAAUACCGCAUACGAUCUAAGGAUGAAAGCGGGGGAUCGCAAGACCUCGCGCGAUUGGAGCGGCCGAUAUCAGAUUAGGUAGUUGGUGGGGUAAAGGCUCACCAAGCCAACGAUCUGUAGCUGGUCUGAGAGGACGACCAGCCACACUGGAACUGAGACACGGUCCAGACUCCUACGGGAGGCAGCAGUGGGGAAUUUUGGACAAUGGACGAAAGUCUGAUCCAGCCAUUCCGCGUGCAGGACGAAGGCCUUCGGGUUGUAAACUGCUUUUGUACAGAACGAAAAGGUUUCUAUUAAUACUAGGAGCCCAUGACGGUACUGUAAGAAUAAGCACCGGCUAACUACGUGCCAGCAGCCGCGGUAAUACGUAGGGUGCAAGCGUUAAUCGGAAUUACUGGGCGUAAAGCGUGCGCAGGCGGUUAUGUAAGACAGAUGUGAAAUCCCCGGGCUCAACCUGGGAACUGCAUUUGUGACUGCAUAGCUGGAGUGCGGCAGAGGGGGAUGGAAUUCCGCGUGUAGCAGUGAAAUGCGUAGAUAUGCGGAGGAACACCGAUGGCGAAGGCAAUCCCCUGGGCCUGCACUGACGCUCAUGCACGAAAGCGUGGGGAGCAAACAGGAUUAGAUACCCUGGUAGUCCACGCCCUAAACGAUGUCAACUGGUUGUUGGGUCUUCACUGACUCAGUAACGAAGCUAACGCGUGAAGUUGACCGCCUGGGGAGUACGGCCGCAAGGUUGAAACUCAAAGGAAUUGACGGGACCCGCACAAGCG
rnacentral:rRNA from 1 species